rnacentral:rRNA from 1 species
UACGUAGGGUGCAAGCGUUGUCCGGAAUUUAUUGGGCGUAAAGAGCUCGUAGGCGGUUUGUCGCGUCUGCUGUGAAAACCCGAGGCUCAACCUCGGGCCUGCAGUGGGUACGGGCAGACUAGAGUGCGGUAGGGGAGAUUGGAAUUCCUGGUGUAGCGGUGGAAUGCGCAGAUAUCAGGAGGAACACCGAUGGCGAAGGCAGAUCUCUGGGCCGUAACUGGACGCUGAGGAGCGAAAAGCAUGGGGAGCGAACAGG